GACAUGUACGGAACUUGCCAGAGAUGGCUUGGUGCUCGAAAGAGAGCCGUAACACAGUGCUGCAUGGCUGUCGUCAGCUCGUGUCGUGAGAUGUUGGGUUAAGUCCCGCAACGAGCGCAACCCUUGCCAUUAGUUGCUACGAAAGGGCGCUCUAAUGGGACUGCCGGUGACAAACCGGAGGAAGUGGGGAUGACGUCAAGUCCUCAUGGCCCUUAUAGGUGGGGCUACACACGUCAUACAAUGGCCGGUACAAGGGGUAGCCAACCCGCGAGGGGGAGCCAAUCCCAUAAAGCCGGUCGUAGUCCGGAUCGCAGUCUGCAACUCGACUGCGUGAAGUCGGAAUCGCUAGUAAUCGUGGAUCAGCAUGUCACGGUGAAUACGUUCCCGGGUCUU
rnacentral:rRNA from 1 species